CUGAAUGCUUCUAGGCUGAUGUUGAAAGCCUGCCAAGCUGUCAAUCACAAUCGAAAGUGUAAAACAGCUUGGAAAGCCCCUGUCAGUGAAGAAUAGUCGGUAUGGCGGAAGAUUGGAAUAUUGGGCGUAAUACAGAUCUGUCAGUCUAUCAUCACUUGAAGAAAGAUUAUCAUUUAUGAGCAUGGGCUGCUGACAAUUCAAUAGACUCCAUCAAUCAAAUCAGGCAGAGUAAUCUUUAGAGGUGAGUGAUGAACUACCAGGGGCAAUCUUUGACUAGGGGUGGUUUGGAAGCUGAGCCAUUACAUGCUGUACACCAACAAAGUAAAAAUGUAGCUGUUUAUAGUAU